ACUAAAAUAGAUGCCAAAGAGGUGCAUAAAUUCAGCACAGCGUCUUCCCAAAUAUGCUUAAGGAGCCAAUAAUUCCCUCACGCUGUUCAUCCGCCGGUCUGGCAACGAACUUAAACAGAUCAAUGUGGUGUAAUGAGUCUCCGAUCUCCGUCAAUACUCAAUUAAUGAAAAGGAUGGAGAAAAUAUCAACAUGCCGCCAGCCAGCACCGCUCGGAAACUGUGAGUAACGAUUACUGAGGAAGCACUUUACAGCCGGAGAGAUCCCCAACAGAGCCGUGGACAGUGGACUCAUGGGAGGUUCGACCAUAAACAAAGAGAUUCUGUACAGAUUUACGGUUUAGGGAGUCCUGAGAGCAGAGCCGUCGAAAAGCUCGCCUCUCUCAAAUAGAAACCUAAUUUGUAGCCCUGAUGGGAGACUUUUAGAGGAUACGUUUUCUCUCCCUGUACAAAAGUAAAUGAAACUGCGUUGCACGAGG